rnacentral:rRNA from 1 species
AGCGAACGCUGGCGGCAGGCUUAACACAUGCAAGUCGAGCGGGCAUCUUCGGAUGUCAGCGGCAGGCGGGUGAGUAACACGUGGGAACGUACCCUUCGGUUCGGAACAACUCUGGGAAACUGGAGCUAAUACCGGAUACGCCCUUAUGGGGAAAGGUUUACUGCCGAAGGAUCGGCCCGCGUCUGAUUAGCUAGUUGGUGGGGUAACGGCCUACCAAGGCGACGAUCAGUAGCUGGUCUGAGAGGAUGAUCAGCCACACUGGGACUGAGACACGGCCCAGACUCCUACGGGAGGCAGCAGUGGGGAAUAUUGGACAAUGGGCGCAAGCCUGAUCCAGCCAUGCCGCGUGAGUGAUGAAGGCCUUAGGGUUGUAAAGCUCUUUUGUCCGGGACGAUAAUGACGGUACCGGAAGAAUAAGCCCCGGCUAACUUCGUG